UGUGGAAAAGGUCAAGGAGUCUGACUACUUUCCGAAGGCACUGAAUUUGCAAUAUCAUCACACUUACAUCUACAUUUCCUGAGCGGAUCAAAUAUACAGCUGGUUUUAUAGAAGCAAAGAGUUUCCAUGCCAGGGCCCUCCCCCCAACGGAUCACAACAAAAAGUGAAAGUAAAACUGACUGCCAUGAAAACACAGCGCAAGCCUGCUAUCCUUGGGUCCCUCAAUCUUUACUUAUGUUAAGGAUAUUUUCUGUGUAUUUAUGGAUGUAUUCAUUGAAAUGCGUUUUACUGUGGAAUAUGAUCUUCUCACUGCAUUGAAGUGGUGACACUCCUCUUCUCAGUCGCGACACUCCCUGGCCAGAGGCCCACACUGCAGCCCUAGGAAAAGUCACGUGAUUUACAAGAAAUCGGACCUGCAGCUCAGAGCAGCAGUCACAGCCUGCUGCAGACAACAACAACUGUAGAUGUCUGAGCUUGUCCACUGAGAUUGUUUUAUAGCAGCAUCCUGUUUGACGAUUGUAUUUUAUUACUCUCAGUUCAACCUUCGAUUCAUCAAGUCAGAGGGAGAGUGAAGAAAAGUUCAAGGUUGUAAUUUGGAUACCUUGUAUAAUAUUUUGCUUAUACAAAAAUAGUUUAUUUGUGGUUUUGUCUUUCACUGCUCCUACUGUAAACUCUUCAUUCUGGUUUCUGCACGUGAUUUUGAUGUUUCAACACUUAAGCAUGUGAGACCAAAGACUGUAGGUGAUUGUAGGAAUUUCUGGGUUGAAAUUGCCCUCUGCAGAGCUAGAGUUAUUUUGGUUGUUUAGCAAAGUGUAUAUGCAACAUUGGCUAAUGUGUCAAAUAAAAAAACGAAAUAUCACA